UCGCUAGUAAUCGCGAAUCAGAAUGUCGCGGUGAAUACGUUCCCGGGUCUUGUACACACCGCCCGUCACACCAUGGGAGUCGGAAAUGCCCGAAGUCAGUGACCCAACCACAACGUGAACUUCGUUCGCGUGGAGGGAGCUGCCGAAGGUGGAGCCGGUAACUGGGGUGAAGUCGUAACAAGGUAUC
rnacentral:rRNA from 1 species